rnacentral:lncRNA from 7 species
GAGCAAACUGCUUCCCUGUCAGCGCGGUGCCGUUCCCACCCCAGUUCUCGUGUGAAACAGUUGUGAGUAGGUCCACAUCGCUCCUGGAAAUACACUGCUGAGGUAUUCAGCAAAAAGCAGAGCAUCCAACCUAAUUCUUCUCUCCUCUGAAUGUUUCUGUUCUCUUAUGCUGCCUAAAUAGCAAAGUAGGAAGGAAUUUGUAGAAAACCUGAAUGAGAACUUCUGUCUUACUUAAAGAGAAGCUGUGAUUCCCAGAGGAUAUGGUGUCUGUUGGAGCAGUGGAAAUGUACAUUCAAGCUUUGCAGGUGACAAGAACCAUCCUCCAGCUCUGCUUCAGCUGGAUAUUUUGAAAUGCAGCCGAGAGGGACUGAAUCUACUGCCCAGACUGGGAGCAAGCAGGGAAGGGGAGGAUCCCUGGAUCUUCCUACCUUUAGAAUGGGGAUGGCGCCAGCUCACAGAAAGAGCAAGAAACAGCUGGGAAAAUGACAGCGUGUUCAAACUGCUGGGAUGAUUUGCAAAAUGUCUAACGCUUAUUUUAGGGUGGCUAUUCCUAUGUAAUAGGGAGGCUUUUCUAGUGAAAACAGGUUUAAAAUAUUCCAUAGGCAAUCGUAUGAAUGUGUUCAAAAAAGCCUGCAUGUAAUGAAUAUGCAAGAGGUUGUGCAGACACAUUUAACUUGGGCUGUUUUUGCAGUCUAUGUUUUCCGAAGAUAGCUUUUAUAUGGAAUAUAUAUUUAUAAUGUAUUUAAAAUAAUCCAAUGUUUUUCUAUAUGAAAAUGCAUAAAAUAUCUUUACUUGCUCUGAUGAGAAAUGGAAAAAUAAAUCUCAAAACUAAUGUAUUUAAAUUGACUGAUACGAAAUUGAAGGGUUUUUUUCUAAAGGCUCUGAACAUUUUCAGCAGCGCAGACACUUUAAUUCGUGCUCCAUGCUUAACUAAUGGCAGCUGUAUUCUCCAAAAUUGUACACUCGGUCCUGUCCUCCCACACUCUCUCACAGCUAACCAACAAAAGCUCUCAAGGUUUUAAAAAUAAUCUCACUGAGCUGAGGGCACAGGAGGCUUCUACACUGAUGAUUUGCUAUAGGCCUUUUGUAAAUCACUUUAUUAAACCUAAGACAAAGCUGCCAAAGUAGUGAUAAAAUUUUAACUCUAAUUGUGCACGUGGUAAUUAUUAAUAAAAGAGU